rnacentral:rRNA from 1 species
AGAGUUGAUCAUGGCUCAGGAUGAACGCUGGCGGCGUGCCUAAUACAUGCAAGUCGAACGAGGUAGCAAUACCGAGUGGCGAACGGGUGAGUAACACGUAGGUAACCUGCCCUUAAGCUUGGGAUACCCAGAGGAAACUUUGGCUAAUACCGGAUAACAACAGAGAAGGCAUCUUCUUUGCUUGAAAGGCCCCUUCAAGGGUCACUUAAGGAUGGACCUGCGGCGCAUUAGCUAGUUGGUGAGAUAACAGCCCACCAAGGCGAGGAUGCGUAGCCGAACUGAGAGGUUGAUCGGCCACAUUGGAACUGAGACACGGUCCAAACUCCUACGGGAGGCAGCAGUAAGGAGUUUUCGGCAAUGGGGGAAACCCUGACCGAGCAACGCCGCGUGAGCGAUGACGGCCCUAUGGGUUGUUAAAAAGCUCUGUUGUAAGCCAUGAAUGAUAGCUUGAGGAAAUGCAAGCUAUUUGACGACAGCUUACCAGAAAGCCACGGCUAACUACGUGCCAGCAGCGGC